AAUAGAUACCCCGGUAGUCCACGCCGUAAACGAUGAGUGCUAGGUGUUGGGGUCUAAUUAGAUCUCGGUGCUGAAGUUAACGCAUUAAGCACUCCACCUGGGGAGUACGAUCGCAAGAUUGAAACUCAAAGGAAUUGACGGGGGACCCGCACAAGCGGUGGAGCAUGUGGUUUAAUUCGAAGCAACGCGAAGAACCUUACCAAGGCUUGACAUCCUCCUGCCGGGCUCGUAAUGGAGUCUUUCCCUUUGGGGACGGGAGAGACAGGUGGUGCAUGGUUGUCGUCAGCUCGUGUCGUGAGAUGUUGGGUUAAGUCCCGCAACGAGCGCAACCCUUAUCUUUAGUUGCCAGCAAGUAAGGUUGGGCACUCUAGAGUGACUGCCGGUGACAAACCGGAGGAAGGUGGGGAUGACGUCAAAUCAUCAUGCCCCUUAUGACCUGGGCUACACACGUACUACAAUGGCCGGUACGAACGGGAAGCGAAGGAGCGAUCUGGAGCGAAUACCUUUAAACGCCGGUCUCAGUUCGGAUUGCAGG
rnacentral:rRNA from 1 species